rnacentral:lncRNA from 1 species
CCAGCUGGACGCCGAGCUGCUGCGCUACUCGGAGAGGUGCGGCCGGGCACCGGGCGGCCCCCGCGGGGUCGCUCUGCCCUGGGGGAAGCCCUCGGCCCGCCCGCCUGGGGGGAGCUCGGGGGUGUGCGCCCCGCUCACGGCUCGCUCUGCUUCCUCCGCAGCCUCCAGGGCGUGCCGGUGGCCUACGACAACGUGCGGGUGGUGGGGGAGCUCGGCGACAUCCGCGACGACCAGGGCUUCGUGCACCUGAACAUCGAGGCGGACUUCGUCAUCUUCAGCCCCAAGAAGGGGAAAAAAAUGGUGAAGCAGAAAGAAGGAAUGAAAAGGAACAGGCUAGCAGAAUGGAGACCAGGACGGGAACAGGCACACUGAUCGCCUCAUGAAGAUGGGUUUGGCCAAACUCAGCAAACUGCUCAGAGAAGCUCGUACAGAAAGUCACUGGAAAUGGGUGCACCAGAGCUAGAAAGAAGCUCGAGCUGAGAGAAGCAGACCUGUGCACACAGCUGCCCCUUGCUGGUAAGCAGCUGCGCAUUAUGGGGAAUCAUACGUCCUUAGGAACAAAGACUGUCCUGGUAACCUUACAGCUUAUUCUCCUUAUUAACAAUCAAGACAGUUUAUGAUCCUGAAACACGGGACCAAACUGAGGUCAAGGUGUGGGACUCUGCAACUAAAAACGACAAGGUUGCAGUGGGAUUGCUCAGCACCUGGUGAGCAAUCUCGGAGGCCUUAAAGAGCCCUGUGGGGCCACAGUCAGAAACGUGUUGUUUGCCAGACAGUGAGGGAGCUGCGGGCUCCUUUACUGAUCCGACUGCUACGCCAUCGGCCCCCCUGAACACUACUGCCAUUGAAGGCCUUUGCUGUUCCGUCCCCUGCUGACCUGGAUGUGCCUUUUGACCCAGGCCCUAUUGGCCUUGAAAAGGAGAUGGAUAUGCUUUUCUUCGAUUUGGGAAGAACGGGAUACAUAAGGCUGGAAGACCGAGUUGCUUGACAACUUAAAGCAAGACAUACUGUUCAAAGGGAAUGGAAAAUGGAGACUUGUUUGUA